rnacentral:rRNA from 1 species
GAUGAACGCUAGCGGCAGGCUUAACACAUGCAAGUCGAGGGGCAGCGGGGGUAGCAAUACCCGCCGGCGACCGGCGCACGGGUGAGUAACGCGUAUGCAAUCUGCCCACAACUGGGGGAUAACCCGGAGAAAUUCGGACUAAUACCCCAUAUACCUCCCGAGAGGCAUUUCUUGGGAUGGAAAGGAGCAAUCCGGUUGUGGAUGAGCAUGCGUAUCAUUAGAUAGUUGGUGGGGUAACGGCCCACCAAGUCUACGAUGAUUAGGGGUUCUGAGAGGAUUAUCCCCCACACUGGGACUGAGACACGGCCCAGACUCCUACGGGAGGCAGCAGUGAGGAAUGUUGGUCAAUGGCCGAAAGGCUGAACCAGCCAUGCCGCGUGCAGGAUUACGGCCCUACGGGUCUUAAACUGCUUUUGGGAGGGAACAAUAAGGGCUACGUGUAGUCCGACGAGCGUACCUUCCGAAUAAGCAUCGGCUAACUCCGUGCCAGCAGCCGCAGUAA